CCUACGGGGGGCAGCAGUGAGGAAUAUUGGUCAAUGGGCGCGAGCCUGAACCAGCCAAGUAGCGUGAAGGAUGACUGCCCUACGGGUUGUAAACUUCUUUUAUAAAGGAAUAAAGUGAGGCACGUGUGCCUUUUUGUAUGUACUUUAUGAAUAAGGAUCGGCUAACUCCGUGCCAGCAGCCGCGGUAAUACGGAGGAUCCGAGCGUUAUCCGGAUUUAUUGGGUUUAAAGGGAGCGUAGAUGGGUUGUUAAGUCAGUUGUGAAAGUUUGCGGCUCAACCGUAAAAUUGCAAUUGAUACUGGCAGCCUUGAGUGAGUGAGAAGUAAGCGGAAUGCGUGGUGUAGCGGUGAAAUGCAUAGAUAUCACGCAGAACGCCGAUUGCGAAGGCAGCUUAUCGGCGCUCAACUGACGCUGAGGCACGAAAGUGCGGGUAUCGAACAGGAUUAGAUACCCCAGUAGUC
rnacentral:rRNA from 1 species